rnacentral:rRNA from 1 species
UUCCUCCUGCAACGGGAGGUAAGGCCUGCUCACUGAUGUUUUAAAGAGCCGCAGUAUCCUAACUGUGCUAAGGUAGCAUAAUCAUUAGUCUUUUAAUUGGAGACUGGUAUGAAUGGCUAAACGAGAAAUUGACUUUUUUUGUUAUAUAAAUUGAAUUUAAUUUUUUAGUGAAAAAGCUAAAAUACUUCAGAAAGACGAGAAGACCCUAUAGAGUUUUAUAUUUAGAAGGUUUUUCUCUUAUUAGAUUUUUUUCGGAAAAAAACUUUUAAGAUAUUUUGUUGGGGCGACAUUAAGAUAAGAAAAACUCUUUAUUUAAAAAAUUUUAAUAAAAAGAAAGUUUGAUCCUCUAUAAGAGAUCAAAAGAAAAAAUUACCUUAGGGAUAACAGCGUAAUCUUUUUUGAGAGUUCUAAUCGACGAAAAGGUUUGCGACCUCGAUGUUGGACUAAAAUUUAGGCAGGGUGCAGCAGUUCUGCUUUUAGGUCUGUUCGACCUAUAAUAUUUUACACGAUCUGAGUUCAGACCGGCGUAAG